ensembl:lncRNA
UUUUUUUUUUCUUUUUCUUUUUAGGCCCGCGCCAGUAGCAUAUGGAGGUUCCCAGGCUAGGGGUUGAAUCAGCUGCAGCUGCUGGCCUACACCACAGUCACAGCAACAUGGGAUCGGAGCAGAGUCAAAAGGGCUCAAAGUAUAUCAUCAGGAUUCCAAAUAAUGGUUAUGAGUACUCUCUGCUUUGUCCUUCUCUCAGUCUGGCUUGUCCUAUGUGAUGGCAAAGAUGAGAUUUCUUGGUUAAUGCUGUCUUCACAACAAGGAAUCUUAGGAGAGAAUACUGCUAUCCUAUAAGUUCCAUCAAAAAGUUUUAGGAGUUCCCGCUGUGGGAUCGGCAAUGUCUCUGCAGUGCAGGGACCCAGGUUCGAUUCCUGGCCAGGGACAGUGGGUUAAGGAUCUGGUGUUGCCACAGCUGCAGCGUAGGUCACAACUGGGGCUCAGACCUGAUCCCUGGUGGGGUCACUCCAUAUGCUGUGGGCGGCCAAAAAAGAAAGAAAGACAAAAAAGGAAUAAAAGAAGUUUAAGCUACUGCUCUUAUUGGUGUACUUUUGAACCAAUCUUUGACUGUCAAGCACGGAUUGUGUGCUCAGCCAUAUGAUGGGUGGAAGAUUUAUAUCACAAACCAGGAGGAAUGGUUCCCAUAAAAAAAAGAACGGUUCUGUGCCACUGUGACCUGUGGUGUAGGCCACAGACGUGGCUGGGAUCCUGGGUUGCUGUGGCUGUGGUGUAGGCUGGCUACAGCUCCAAUUCAACCCCUAGCCUGGAUGCAGUGGUGAAAAAAAAAAAGGCAGACAGCAACUCCAGAUGAGUAUUGCCAGCCUGCUUUCCUGAAAAAAACUGAAAUAAAAGUACAGGAUUUGCCAGUGCCCCCCUGUGUUACAGGGUAUUCUUGUGAUCUGCAUAUGAAAGCAAAUCCCUGCAGCUAUAAAACUCUCCCCCAGCCUCCACCAAGCUCAGCUAUGUCAGUCACCUGAAGUCAGCAGCCAAAAAAUUCAAUGAAAUUCGGAAACUGAACGAUCCAUAGCAUAAUGCUAUUUGUUUGGGAAAUAAUAAUUUAUUUUUUACCUAAAUUUUAAUUUUUAGGGCUGCACGUGCGGCAUAUGGAGGUUCCCAGGUUAGAAGUCUAAUCUGAGCUACAGUUGCUGGCCUAUGCCACAGCCACAGCAACACCAGAUCGGAGCCACAUCUGUGACCUACGCCACAGGUCACAGCAACACUGGAUCCUUCACCCCCUGAGAGAGGCCACAGAUAGAAGCCACAGCCUCAUGGUUCCUAGUCGGAUUCAUUUCUGCUGCACCACGACAGAAACUCCUGUUAUCUAAAUUUUAAACCCAAGAAGUUUGGGUGUUCAGAAAAAUCACAAUCCUAACUCAAAUCCAUGUAGUCUAACUGUGUUAUUUUCAAUAAAUUUCCUAAUAUAAAAAAGCAGUUUCCCCCUACCUUCAUUAAGCACAUUCUAAGCAAAUAUUUUAGAAGUGGCAAUUUCAGAAAGACAUCAAAUUUUUAGGACCCUGCCCCCAACACCGUAAGUUAACCCUGGUCAUGGUGCUAUCUCUAGGUUAAUUUGGAGCAUAGCUACAGAAAGGGAUAUGAUUGCCUAGUUUGUAGCAAGCACUAGACAAAGCCUUGCCCAUACAGAAUUUUUUAUUACCAAUUACCAGAAUCUCAGAAAAGCUCAGCAGGGAUCCCAAGCCUUCUGUCUCUAGGAGACUGAGAGACCUCGUCCAGGGGGGGUCACACACAAUAAGACUUGUCCAGGGUCACAGACAUUGAUUUGUCCAGGGUCACACACAAUGUGACUGACUGAAUGGCAAUUCUGGGAUCCACAGCAAGGGUCUUCUUGGAUUUCUCUGUUGGCUCAUUGGGUUAAGGAUCUGGCAUUGUCUCUGCUGUGGCACGGGAAUCGGGCAAAACAAAACAAAGGAAUGACAAAACAAACACAAAACCCCAAACAAAUAAAGGUUCUUCUGACUCCAAAUGCCAUGCUUUGUCUUUGAUUGUCUUUUUGUUUGUUUUUUGUUGUUGUUGUUGUUGUCGUCGCUUUUUUGGGUGCAGGAACUCUGAUUUUAUUGUCCUUUAAGGGGUUCUUAGUCCUGCCUUUGUUUGGCUGAUCCUCCAGGUGUUGUUGGAGGCAUAGUCCAUCCCUGCAUGACACAAGGGAUAUACCAUCCAAUGUUCUGCAAGCCUACUGUGUGCCCCAACACAUACGUUUAUUAUUAAAGCUCAGCAGGGAUCCCCAAACCCUAAAUGUGGUCUAAAACCCUGGAUAUAAUCUAGUUCCUGCCUACCUCCUGAUGUCAUCUAAUUUCCCUCCCUCCUCCAUGUAACACAACCUACAACCUUGCAGCUGCCUCGGUGCCUCAAUGUACCAAGCUCGUCCCCCCAAUGUCUUUACCCACCCGGACCAGCACUCCCCACACACUUACAUCUAACUGUUGCUCACCUUCAGUGUCAGGUAAAAUGUCAUCUCAUCGGGGAAAACGUCUCUGGAUGCCCCAAUAGGGUUAAGGGCACCCUGUUUUGUUUUCUCAGCACACCUCGCUCCGUGUUUCCCUUCCUUAGCUCUUAAAACAAUUGGUUUCAAUUGCCCAGGCAAUCAUUUCUUUAAUAGCUGUCUCUAUUCAUACACCCAUUCACAGACAUUUUUUUGAGAGCCUACUGUGUGCCUCAUAGGUGCUUAUUGUCUGAGCCACAGAGGCUAGAGCAGUGUGGGAGUAUGAACGCUGGGCGAACUGAGAUUUGGUCUGUUUUCCUUCCCUGAGUAUCUUCCAGCCUAGUCUUGUGUUCCACCCAGAGCAGGAAUCGAAAGAAUGAAUAAAUGAAGAAAGGAAUGAACACUGUCAAUUAUUUAUGUAAAAGCCUCAUUCCAUCCCCUUCAUUUACAGGCUGACUCUAACCCUAUUAUCUCUUGAGUCCCCAGCACUAGCAUAGUGCCUGGAUGGGAUGAGAGCUCAAAAAACACAUAUUCUAUUUAAUGAAUCAGUGAAUGACUCAAGCAAUCAAUUUAAUUUGGCAUAUGCCUUCCUUGUAGGUGUGCCCAUUAAUUACCAAUUACCAGUGUUUACAUUCCAAUGCUUAACCGUUUUUUGCUGGCUUCUAUAAACUCUCUGGGAUGAGAGAAUUGGCUUCUCAAACGACUUCCUGCAUAAAUUAGCCCAUCUGAAAGUGAGUGUUUAUCCCGGGCUCUUUGAAAUUCACAUCAUUCGCACCAACACCCCGCUCAGACGGUUCUUUAAUUCCAGUCACCUGGGAUUUCUUCCUACCUUUGUUGCCAGCUUCAGCCUAACGCCACUUAUCUUAUCCACCUGGAUUUACAUAUAAGAAAGGUCUAAUCAAAGCAUGCCUGAUUGUCACAUCCACCCUGGUUACAAAUCUGCCAUCUAAUCAAGAAGCCAUACAGCAAAUCAACAUGCACUUCUUUCUGAAAUCUUUUACAGAAAAAUGGGAGAGCAGGAGUCAGAGCUGGGAACAAGGGCAGCAAGAGUCAAGCAAGGGAAAAUUCCCUCCAUGUCUGUGUAACACUGGGAAGAAAGAGACAAGGCAAAAUGCUUUGUCUGCAAUUUGAUACAACAGUGGGUGUGGAAGGAAAACUAAUGACCACAAAGUAACAUAUUUCUAACCCAAGGGAGCCUAUGGGUAUUUCCACCCUAAUAUUCUCAGAGUGGACAAGGCUACAAAGUUAGCCUCAGAGAUUUUUAGUCCAAAACCUUCCUUUUCCAUUUUACCAGGCAAGUCAGGUUCAGAGAGGGGAAUUCGUUAAUGAUAAGGUUAACUUUGCACGCUUAGAAGGCGCAAGCUUUGCAGGCAUGGUCUCUCUGGACCCUCCCAAUUCCUGUUUCGUAAUCUCUUAUUCUUUCCUUAAUGCAGAUAAGGAAAACAAGGCUGGUUAAUGUCAUGUUCCCCACCCACAGAGCAAGCAGGCAGUGAAGCCAGGACUUGAAAGUUGGUCCUUUCAGCGAACAUAUUUUUUCAUUCUACCAGAUGAGCGCAUCUUAACUUUAAUGUUCAUGCAAGUCUUCUGGAGAUUUUGUCGAAAUUCAGAUUCUGAUUCUGCAGGCCUGGGGUGGGGCUCUGCUUUUCUCCCAGGCGAUGCUGCUGGUGCACAGACCAUAUAUAAUCCUGACCCCAACACUCUAUAGCUGUGCGACCUUCGCAAAAUUGCUUAAUUUCUCUGCGCCUCAAUUUCUUCCGCGUCAAAACAGAAAAAUAGUACCUAUGGCACAGGUGUGUUUCAAGGAUUGCAUGAAACCCUCUAGAGAGAGCUCUUAGCAACUUCUCUGCUCUAUGCAGCAAGAGAAAACACCCAGGAAGCACUGGCUAUUAUUACAGGGAUAAACUCUGUACCAGGCACUGUCUUGGGAAUACAGAGAUGAAAAGACAGUGUGUUUGGCUUCAAGAAAGUAGUCUAGUGGGCAGGAAAUAUUUGGGCCACAAUGGGCAGUGAGAAAGGGCGUGGAAGCUCAGAAGACAGCUUCCUAGCAUAGGUGUGGAAUCAGAGAAAGCUUCUGAGAGUCUGCCUUUUUCUUCCACGCUCAGUGCGCACUAGCGGAAGAGAUCAAGUUAAGGCGCCGAUUGGCACGUGGUCACUGCAGGCCACAGCAACAGGGCAGUUUCUCAUCCAGGGGCCGAGCAGCCUUUAGAGGGUGAUACGAUCUGAAGUGAUUGCUGCAGAAAGAUUUCUGUUGUCUCUGGGUUCCCUCUUCCAGGACCUGGAAUUCAGCCACCUGGUUUCAGUCAAGACUCAAAACUGAGAUAUAACGCCCUUAUAUAUUGAUAUAACUAAACUCUUCUCCUCUAUGUUUUUAAGAUUUCUAAGUUCUAUCCACCCCCAAGACACACCCUAUUAUUCACACCUGCUAAAAGUGAGCAAAGGCUGCACGCCUUGAAAUCCUUCAUUUGUGAUUAGAGCUGAAGCGUCACUGAAGUUCUCUAAUUGAUUGGAACUUCUUUUUUCCACCCCCUAAGGGCAUAGUUUAACAAUUCUCUUAUAAUUGAGAAAACAGAAGCUGAAAUGGAAUGACCUAUGAGCUUAGAGCAGAGCCUAGACUAAAAGCAGUUCCCUGAUGCUCCUACAACCCCCUCUUAGAGCAGGAACUUUAAAAGGCAGGAGGCGAGGAUACACACUCUGCCCUCCCUUCCCUAAGGAAUCCUGGAAAACUGCUAACACAUUUGACAUCUUCCCUGGGAGUGCUGGAAAUAGCCUCCCCUGGUGAGGCUCUGGCCUUUGAGUUGCACAGCCCCCACAACCUGGAGCCGGGUGGGCUCCAUCCCUGACAAGCAGCCUUGAGGUGCUUGAGCACGUGAUGAAAUCCUGCUGAGCUUCUGCAUUCAAAAAAUGACAUGGAAAUACUAAUACCUGCUGACAGGUUUGUUGUGAUGAUUCAAUAUGAUAAUGUAUGUAGAGCACCUGGUUAGUAGGCGCUCAACUGGUGGCGGGGCAUGUCAAGGGUUUUAAGCAAAGUCACUCAUUCAGACAUUUGGCUGGCUGGCUGCACCUGCCCCUGAGGCAACACACAGCCUGCAGUCCGUAGCCUGAGGGUGUAGUCCUUGGGAAUUGCAGCCCUUGCUCCUCUGCAGCCUCCAGCCUUCCUGCCCCUAGCGGCAUCUCUUGACCCUCUAUUCCAUGCUCCAGCCCUGCAAAGUGACUUCUAGUUCCUGGAACACUGCUGCCCUUGCUUUGGACCCGUGCUUUACCAGGAGUGUUCAUUCCUCCUCCAACAGCGCACAUCCUUCAACCCGCUAAGUCUCAUCCUCUCUGGUUUAAUCAUGUUUCCCAAUAGAUACUUUCUCCGGAAGCCUCCCCCAAUGUACCACCAAGCCCACGUUUAUACUCUUGUGGAGCAGCUCACAGAGAAGCGGGACCAUCUACCAAUUCACCAGGUCCUCAUCUCCCAGAAGGAUGUAAGCUCAGCAAAAGGCAGGGCUGCAUCUGAAGGCUUGUUCACCAUCCCAUCUCUCUCACCCCACUCUGGGUCUGGCACAGAGUGUGAACUCAAUAAAAGCUGUAAACAGAGUGGACCAGAAUAACAGUAAGAGUAUUGAGAAAAAAUAAAGUCACCCACGGUAGGGUGAGCAAGACAAAUGGGCUUGUCCCAUUGUUGAGACAAAAAUGUACACAAAUAAUUUCAUGUCCAGCCUUUCUAGGACAAGGCAGGGUUAGAAAUAAAAUAGAAUACAACACAAUAAAAUAAACCUGCUACCAGAUGUCUGGGAACAAGGGCACCACAGCCAAUGCUACCUGUCUAUCGGGAAACCCUAAAAGAAUCCAGGCUUGUCAAUGCAAGGUGCUGGAUGCCUGGGUGGGGAUGGGUGUGAGCAGGGCCUCUCUAUAUAAACCAAAGAAAGAAAGCCACCCUCUAAACUCCCAUCACUGAAAAGCCAGAGUCUUCCUUUCCUAGUGCCUAUAGAAUUGAAUUAGCAUAAGCAUUGUCAUGUAAUGAGUUGUCAGGCUGAAGAUGUAAUUAUUGCAAAGCAGAGAAAAAUUUCAAAAGUUGAGCUUUAAUGGAAAAAUGAGAUGGGAGCUCUGGCGUUGAAGUAUAAAACAAACUUUUUAAUAUUCAUUCCUCUCGCACUCUUUGAAAUUCACCUUCAGAGCUCCAAGGUGAACAGGGGGAAAAAAGUUCAAUAAUUUUCAAAUCCUAAUUAUAAUUCAUCACAGGUGAUUAAACAAGGCUGUGGGUAUUUGUUGUUCACCACUUUUUUUCUUCUUACAGUGGACAUUUAAUUUUAAUUAAAAACGGAGGUUUUUUUCUUUUCUUUUUUUUUCCCUAAUGAUGCCUAGUUACCUGUGCUUCUGUUUCUCUUUCCUGCAUAGAAACUCAAUUCUUCCACCCUCCACUGCUACUAGAAACAAAAUACUGCAUCCAUAUUAAUGCCUUUUAUUUCGGUGGGGAGCCUGUUCGUUUAUCCAUUUCCUGAAAGAGCCCAUCCAAACUCCACAGGCUGCUUUUCCAGGUGCCCAGCAUUUAGCCAGCACAGUGUCUUAAAUUUCUGAGCUUCGGUUUCUUUUUUUGAAAAAUGGGGAGGAUGAUAAUGAGAUUUUGCUACCCAAGGUAAGGACCCUGGAAAUAUGAGAUCCUUUCUUCUCCAUGUAC